rnacentral:rRNA from 1 species
GAUGAACGCUGGCGGCGUGCCUAAUACAUGCAAGUCGAACGCUUCACUUCGGUGAAGAGUGGCGAACGGGUGAGUAAUACAUAAGUAACCUGGCAUCUACAGGGGGAUAACUGAUGGAAACGUCAGCUAAGACCGCAUAGGUGUAGAGAUCGCAUGAACUCUAUAUGAAAAGUGCUACGGGACUGGUAGAUGAUGGACUUAUGGCGCAUUAGCUGGUUGGUAGGGUAACGGCCUACCAAGGCGACGAUGCGUAGCCGACCUGAGAGGGUGACCGGCCACACUGGGACUGAGACACGGCCCAGACUCCUACGGGAGGCAGCAGUAGGGAAUUUUCGGCAAUGGGGGAAACCCUGACCGAGCAACGCCGCGUGAAGGAAGAAGUAAUUCGUUAUGUAAACUUCUGUCAUAGAGGAAGAACGGUGGAUAUAGGGAAUGAUAUCCAAGUGACGGUACUCUAUAAGA